rnacentral:rRNA from 1 species
UACAGAGGGGGCAAGCGUUAUUCGGAAUUAUUGGGCGUAAAGGGCGCGUAGGCGGCUUUGCAAGUGACGGGUGAAAUCCCUCGGCUUAACCGAGGAACUGCCUGUCAAACUGCAUGGCUUGAGACCGGGAGAGGUGAGUGGAAUUCCCAGUGUAGCGGUGAAAUGCGUAGAUAUUGGGAGGAACACUAGUGGCGAAGGCGGCUCACUGGACCGGUACUGACGCUGAUGCGCGAAAGCGUGGGGAGCAAACAGG